GUCUACGGCCAUACUACCUUGAACAAGCCUGAUCCCGCUUAUCUCAGAAGCUAAGCAGGAUCGGGCCUGGUUAGUACUUGGAUGGGAGACCACCUAGGAAAACCAAGUGCUGUAGGUG
rnacentral:rRNA from 1 species